UCCUACGGGAGGCAGCAGUGGGGAAUAUUGCACAAUGGGCGCAAGCCUGAUGCAGCCAUGCCGCGUGUAUGAAGAAGGCCUUCGGGUUGUAAAGUACUUUCAGCGAGGAGGAAGGUGUUGAGGUUAAUAACCUCAGCAAUUGACGUUACUCGCAGAAGAAGCACCGGCUAACUCCGUGCCAGCAGCCGCGGUAAU
rnacentral:rRNA from 1 species